rnacentral:rRNA from 1 species
AUUGGACGCUGGCGGCAGGCUUAACACAUGCAAGUCGAGCGGGGUGAUGGUGCUUGCACUAUCACUUAGCGGCGGACGGGUGAGUAAUGCUUAGGAAUCUGCCUAUUAGUGGGGGACAACAUCUCGAAAGGGAUGCUAAUACCGCAUACGUCCUACGGGAGAAAGCAGGGGAUCACUUGUGACCUUGCGCUAAUAGAUGAGCCUAAGUCGGAUUAGCUAGUUGGUGGGGUAAAGGCCUACCAAGGCGACGAUCUGUAGCGGGUCUGAGAGGAUGAUCCGCCACACUGGGACUGAGACACGGCCCAGACUCCUACGGGAGGCAGCAGUGGGGAAUAUUGGACAAUGGGGGGAACCCUGAUCCAGCCAUGCCGCGUGUGUGAAGAAGGCCUUAUGGUUGUAAAGCACUUUAAGCGAGGAGGAGGCUCUCUUGGUUAAUACCCAAGAUGAGUGGACGUUACUCGCAGAAUAAGCACCGGCUAACUCUGUGCCAGCAGCCGCCGUAA